AUGAACGCUAGCGACAGGCCUAACACAUGCAAGUCGAGGGGCAGCACAAGGAGCAAUCUGAGGUGGCGACCGGCGCACGGGUGAGUAACACGUAUGCAACCUGCCUGUAAGCGGGGAAUAACCCGUUGAAAGACGGACUAAUACCGCAUAAUACUAAAUUACUGCAUGGUAAUUUAUUUAAACACUUAUGGCUUACAGAUGGGCAUGCGCAUGAUUAGCUAGUUGGAGAGGUAACGGCUCCCCAAGGCAACGAUCAUUAGGGGUUCUGAGAGGAAGGUCCCCCACACUGGUACUGAGACACGGACCAGACUCCUACGGGAGGCAGCAGUGAGGAAUAUUGGUCAAUGGACGAGAGUCUGAACCAGCCAAGUCGCGUGCAGGAAGAAUGUUCCCUAUGGAUUGUAAACUGCUUUUGCAGGGGAAUAAAGUGCAUCACGUGUGAUGUUUUGUAUGUACUCUGCGAAUAAGGAUCGGCUAACUCCGUGCCAGCCGCUGC
rnacentral:rRNA from 1 species